GGAGGUUACUGCUAUCGGUGUUCGCCUAACCCAUGCGAGUCAUAUGUUCUUCGUGAACAUGGCGUACUGCUCAGUAACACGUGAAUAACCUGCCCUUGGGACCGGCAUAACCCCGGGAAACUGGGGAUAAUUCCGGAUACCGCAUAUAUGCUGGAAUGCUUUAUGCGUGAAAUGGAUUCGUCUGCCCAAGGAUGGGUCUGCGGCCUAUCAGGUAGUAGUGGGUGUAAUGUACCUACUACCCUACAACGGGUACGGGUUGUGAGAGCAAGAGCCCGGAAAUGGAUUCUGAAACAUGAAUCCAGGCCCUACGGGGCGCAGCAGGCGCGAAAACUUUACAAUGCGGGAAACCGUGAUAAGGGGACACCGAGUGCCAGCAACAUUUGUUGGCUGUCCAGGUGUGUAAACUACACCUGUUAGCAAGGGCCGGGCAAGACCGGUGC
rnacentral:rRNA from 1 species